UACGUAGGGCGCAAGCGUUAUCCGGAAUUAUUGGGCGUAAAGAGCUCGUAGGCGGUUUGUCGCGUCUGCCGUGAAAGUCCGGGGCUCAACUCCGGAUCUGCGGUGGGUACGGGCAGACUAGAGUGAUGUAGGGGGAGACUGGAAUUCCUGGUGUAGCGGUGAAAUGCGCAGAUAUCAGGAGGAACACCGAUGGCGAAGGCAGGUCUCUGGGCAUUAACUGACGCUGAGGAGCGAAAAGCAUGGGGGAGCGAACAGG
rnacentral:rRNA from 1 species